AAAUGAGUGCAAGCCCGCUGGCCACUGACCCCAUGGCUCGCCCACAGAUGCCAGCAUUGGGAGCCGCCUCCUAGCAGGCAGCACCACAGGUGCCCUGGCUGUGGCUGUGGCCCAGCCCACGGAUGUGGUAAAGGUCCGAUUCCAAGCUCAGGCCCGGGCUGGAGGUGGUCGGAGAUACCAAAGCACCGUCAAUGCCUACAGGACCAUUGCCCGAGAGGAAGGGUUCCGGGGCCUCUGGAAAGGUGUGUACCAGUUGUUUUCCCUUCCCCUUUUCCUCCUCCCCGAUACUCUGGUCUCACCCAGGAUCUUCCUCCUCCUACAGGGACCUCUCCCAAUGUUGCUCGUAAUGCCAUUGUCAACUGUGCUGAGCUGGUGACCUAUGACCUCAUCAAGGAUGCCCUCCUGAAAGCCACCCUCAUGACAG
rnacentral:sRNA from 1 species